AUCUUCUCACACUUUCUCCUGCCGCCAUGAUGCCAUCCACCAUGAGGCCUCCCACCAGAGGCCGAACAGAUGGAGCUGCCCAAUCUUAGACUUCCAGCCUCUAAAACUCAUGACAAAAGAUCCUUGUGAUGAUUGCGUCCAACCCCCUCAUUUUACAGAUUGGGAACCUGAGGCUCAAAGAGGAAAAGCAAUGAGUCGGGGUCAACAUAUCCAAGAGAUGUAAAUCUGAACACCCUGGAAGACAAAAACAUUGGAGACAAUUAGUCCAGGUCUAGGGACUUCACAGCGUCACAGAGAAGACACCCCAGGCCCUCAUUCCAGGUGAGCGGUGCUGUGGGUUGAACCGUGUCCCCUAAAGCUGUACUGAAGCCCUAAGUCCUUGUACCUGUAAAUGAGACCUUACUUGGAAUUAGGGACACCAAGUUUAAAAGAAAUCAUAGAAAUGAGGAUGGGCUGAGCUCCAACAUGGCCCGUGUCCUAAGAAGACAAGGACACAGAGACACAGAAGAAUGUAACGACAGUGGCAGAGGGAAUGAUGCAGCUACUAGCCAAGGAAUGUCAAAGAUUGCCAGCAACAUGAGAGGCAACACCAGAGGCCAGAACAGAUCCUCUCGAAGCCCGCAGAGGUGGGUGGCCCUGCCCGAACCUUGAUUUUAGACUCUUGGGCUCCAGAACUAUGAGACAAUCAAUUCCAGCUGUUUUAAGCCACCAAGUUUGUGGUCCUUUGUCACAGCAGCCCCAGAAAUGAAUAGGGGCAGCACAUUCCUGCUCCAUUCUAACCAUGAAAAUGAUGUUGAAAGACUUCGUGACCAUUUCCCAGCUUUACAUUGGUAACUGCCUUUAAUUCCCCUCUAUUAUACCAGCAUUCUUCCCAUUAUGCAGAUGAGGAAACUGGGACUUGGAGAAGUAGGCUCACCCCAGAUCUCAGCUUGGCAGUGCUGAAGGCUCCAGAGGCCAGGUCUACCGUGGAUCACUGCUGUUAACCCUAAGCUAUCGGAGGGCACACAGAUAUCCUGAUGUUGGAUUUGGGAGAAGGUGGCUCUGCUGAAGCUCCCAUGGGACCUGGGGACCAGAGACAUGCAGGACAUAUCCAGAGAGAGCUGGGACAUCUCUUCUGGACAAGGUUGCUGCCCGAGCCCUGUGGAAGCUGAGCAACAGCUCAGCAUGACGUCUCUGUGGAGGCCAAAACUGCCCAAGAGAAUGGCUACUCCA
rnacentral:lncRNA from 1 species